rnacentral:lncRNA from 1 species
GGAAAAAGGAAGAAAAAUAGCAAACAGAUGGGAAGGAGAAUAAGAGAUUCUCCUUUUCAUCAGUUCUUACUUUGGUAAAAAUUACUUCACAAUAAAAUAUAUUUACUUUAUAUUAUUUAUAUGUAUUAUUUUGUACAAAUGAUUUUCAACUUUAACUGCACAUCAGAAUUUUCUCCAAGAGCUUUAAAAAAUAUAUAUUGUUGCCUACGAGUCACCUCCAAAGAUUUUGAUUUAAUCAACAAUCAGCAUUGUUGGAUUCUGCAAGACUUCCCCGAUGUGUGCUUUAUAGCACCUCAAGCACAGGCAAAACUCUUUCUACCCAUACGGUGCAAAUGUAUAAAGAUUCUCCAAAUUCUUCCACACAGGAUUUUGUCCACUUGUUCUCUGACAAUGCAUUUCCCCAUUUAGUCCAUUUGGGCUCUGGUUAAAAAAAAUAGGCACGUACCACUGCACCCAGCAUCCAUUAGCUACCAAUUAUCUAAGCUCCAUGAGGAAAGAGACUUGUUUGUUCUCCAUUGAUUGAUUUCCAAUUCAUGGACUAGGAAGAGCCUGACAAACAUUAGAUCUUCAAUAACUAUUUGCUAAAUGAAUGAGUGCUAAGUUGUUUAUUCUACAUGGGCAUAGAAAAAGAAAAAGUAAGAUUUGACAAGAAACAAGAGUUAAAACAAGAAGGGAAAUAAACUCCUUAAAACUAGAAAAAGUUUUGUGACAUAUAUGAACUCAUGGAAGAUUUAUGUACUAAUCUCAAAAAAAUCUACGUUUUCUAUAAUCUUUCUAGCUUAAUUCAGAAGUUGGGCAGAAUAAAAAUUUUAAAAUGUAAGUCUAGCACCCAGGAUGUGGGGACCUUUGUACUAUUUCACAUGAAAAGAACUUAUUCUAAUUCAGGGAGUUGGAGAUGGCUAGAAAACUCUAGAUUUCAGGCAUGGGAAGGAAGGGACCAUGGAGAUGAGAUAUAUUUCAGAAAUAUACUGAAAGAAAUAUACAAGCCAACUGAGAAAAAACACUUCAUUGAUAGUUUAGCAGUAAACAACAAAAAAAAUGAAAAAACAAAAAAAUGAAUCAGUCAGGAGUUAGUCAUUAACACUUGAGUUCACUGAAGAAGAAACUCAGUAUGAAGGAUGCAAUAUAAGUUCAUUAUUGUUUGGAUAUGAGAUAUCCCCCCAAAAGUUCCUGUGUUAAUUCAGGAAUAUUCAGAGGUAAAAUAAUAAUGAGGGCUGUAACCUAAUCAGUUCAUCUUAGUUUUAAUGGACUGAUGAGGUAGUAACUGUAGGGAAGUAGAUUGUGGCUAGUGGAGGUGGAUCACUGUGGGUGUGCUCUGGAAGGGUUCAUCUUCUUUGCAGCACUUUUCUUGUCUUCUCCUCCUCCUUCUCCUUUUCCCCCCUUUUCUUCUUCUCCUCCCACCCCUGCUUCCCAACUACCAUAAACAGUGGGGUGUUACUCUGACACGCCCUUCCACCAUGAUGCUCUGUCUUACCUUGGACCCAGAGCAAUGGAGUCAACCAACCAUAGACUAAACCUCUGAAACUGGGAGCCCCAAAUAAACUUUUCCUCCUUUAAGUUCUUUAAGUUGUUCUUGUCAGAUAUUUUGAUCACAGUAACAAAGUCAACACAAAAUAUAAAAAUCACAUGCUAUAUACUAUGAGUGAAAUUCAAAGUCCAAGUUAAUAACCAUACUUUUUAUAAUCUUUAUAACUACAGAUUAUUUUCACCUCCUUUGUUGAACUGCCUAUAUAUGCUUCAUUUUUUAAAUUGGAGUGUUACACAUGUUAGAGGAAGUGUUAUUGUAUGUAUCUGCUUUAGUGACAAUACAAAAUAACUAGUCUAAACUUAUAAUGAUGAAUGUAAUUAAAAUAAGAAAAUUCAUGAACAUUGAUUUCGUGAUUUACCAGAAUAAAGAAUGGCAUUUCCUCCAAGGAAUAUUGAAAAAGUACAUUCAGAAAUGCACUUUGUCUUAAUUCACACAAAACUUUGACCUCUCCUGUGAUAUCUUCCUGCAACUGUGUAUAUGUGUGUGUGUGUGUGUGUAUUAAAGUUAUGAAAUUAGAUUUGUUGUACAAGAAGACAGAAAAGGUUGACUGUUUCUCAAAUGCAUCAACCAAAUUUUUCAGAUCCAUUUGUUCUUGUGAAAAUUGGUCACAGGGUCUGGAAUAGGAUAUAAAUUACUCUAGACAACAUCCAGUGUCUGGAGUAAGAGAAUUGGGAAUGACUAUGUGAUGAUGCAAACACCCCUGAAAGCCUGACCUGGCCUCAAAGGAGACAGGAUCUAGUCACAGUUUUGCUAGAAGCCACCUACCAAGAGAAAGCAGAUAAACCAUCUGAGACAUUAAGGAAAUCCAUAUGCCUUGGUGUUUGUUUGUUUGUUUGUUUGUUUUGGUAACAGGGAUUGAACCCAGGAGCACUUAACCACUGAGUCACAUCCCUAGCCCUUCUUACAGAGUUUCACUAAGUGCCUUAGGGCCUCACUAAGUUUCCAAUUUUGGCUUUGAACUUGUGAUCCUUCUGCCUCAACCUCCCAACCUUGAUGGGAUUACAGGCAAUCACCACCAUGCCUCAUUCCAUAGGCCUUGUUCUUAAAGACCAAUAUGGAUGUAGGUUUUUAAUCUGCUGUAUACAUUCAGAAGACCCCCAAAAAAAAAAAAAAGCAUACCUUGGUGUACCUGAUUUCUGUUUAUCAGAUACCUUCAGAACUAGGCCUAGAGACCAGAGAUAAGUCAAUUUAUGCAGUAGAAACAUAUUAUUUUUUCCUCUUCUACCAGUUACCUAGCUGGAUGAAUGGAAAUGAACAAUCAUUACACCCAGAUUCUUAAAAUGAACAUUUAUUUAGCAGGAGAGAGAAGGGCAAUCAGUAAGAACCAGUGAUAAUUUCCAUCUCUCCCUAACAGUUUGAACCCCAUGGUGAGCUCUCAUCAUGUCAGUCUUUCUUCUCCAGAGUGCAUGGGCCUGGCAAUGCAUGAGUUGAGAGAGGUUCUUCUUUGACUGUGGCUUGGCUGCUGCUGAGUCACCUGAAGGGCCUUAAUGUGGGGAUAGUAGAAGUGUAGCACUUGAUCUCACUUGCCAUUCACUUACACACAUGUC